AAGAAACCCAGCAAUGACAGUUAGUUUCCAGUUCUCCUUUAGUGAAAUUGCUAAUCGCGACCUUGGCCGAUGAAGCAGCUAGGCAGGUCACAAUACUGCACGAUACAACGCUAACCUGAGCACAAUGUACACUUUACGCUGUUUCGUCGCUGUGAAAGAUACCUGCCUGGAGGCGACCUGCAACGACAUGUGACGGGACUUUCAAGUUCUUUUUUUUUGGGAUAUGCAUCGGAUAGGGUUUCAUACUGCGACGUUCACUGGUGAUAACAACAUUUGCAAGAGAGAAGUGAAAACACUUAGCAUCAGUAUGUGCAUUGUGCAGUAACCUUUAAAAAUAAUAAACUUUCGAUCCAAAAUAGA